rnacentral:rRNA from 1 species
AGAGUUUGAUCAUGGCUCAGAAUGAACGCUGGCGGCGUGCCUAACACAUGCAAGUCGAGCGAGAAAUCACACUUCGGUGUGAGAGUAGAGCGGCGCACGGGUGAGUAACGCGUGGAUAAUCUACCCAUGGAUUGGGGAUAACCCUGCGAAAGCGGGGCUAAUACCUGAUAGUCUGGUCAUUAUAUAGAUGAUCGGUAAAGGUGGCCUCUGAUACAAGCUACUGUCCGUGGAUGAGUCCGCGUCUCAUUAGCUGGUUGGUGGGGUAAUGGCCUACCAAGGCGACGAUGAGUAGCUGGUCUGAGAGGAUGAUCAGCCACACUGGGACUGGAACACGGCCCAGACUCCUACGGGAGGCAGCAGUGGGGAAUAUUGGGCAAUGGGCGCAAGCCUGACCCAGCAACGCCGUGUGAGGGAAGAAGGUUUUCGGAUCGUAAACCUCUGUCAGAAGGGAAGAAGUGGCAGAUAUUUAAUAUAUAUUUGCUUUGACGGUACCUUCAGAGGAAGCACCGGCUAACUCCGUGCCAGCAGCCGCGGUAAUACGGAGGGUGCAAGCGUUAUUCGGAAUCACUGGGCGUAAAGCGCGCGUAGGUUGCGUGGUAAGUCAGAUGUGACAGCCCCCGGUUCAACCGGGGGAACUGCAUUUGAAACUGCCAUGCUUGAGUACGACAGAGGGUUGGCGGAAUUUCCCGGUGUAUGAGUGAAAUCCGUAUAUAUCGGGAGGAACACCC